AAUGGAGAGAGAUCGCAGUCCGAAGUCUCUCUCUCUCUCUCUCUCCUCCCUCCUUCAGCGAGCGAUUUCUCAAUCCGCAGGCGCAGUUGGGCUUCCGGAUCGAAGGGUAAGCUUCUCCCAGAUCCGCAAUCCGACUGCCUUUUGUUUCCGGACGCUCGCGUCGGCCGGCUGUUCAUUCGAUCGUCGCCUCCCACUGAAACCGUUUCGUCGUCCUCAAUGCAUCGGGCUGACUCGAUCCGUGUCGAGAUCCGGAGACUGAUUGAUGAAACCGAGGUCGUAUCCGAUGCCUGGAUUGUGUGCUUGUUUGCUCUUCCCAUUUGCUUGUUUCGGCUCGUGUUUCGACUGAUUCCUGUCGUUCUGAAAUGUCACGCGGCCAUGACUACACGUCGAAUCGAUUCAUCGGUACUCGCUCGCCGUCGCUUUUGAUCAAAUCAUAAUAGAAUCUGGCAUUUUUCUCCAGCUAAAUUGGUGGGAUGAGAUAGUUCGUCCAGAUUAUUUUGCAGGCCAAAUUGAUGAUUCAUCUGUACCGAGGCAGCUUAUAGUUUUCUCUGUCAGAUGGUUCAGGCUGGCUUGGAUUUUCUAAUCUGUCUUCUCAGUGCAGAGAUUGCGUCGUGUCUUGACAUUUCCCUUGGUAAUUUUGACUACACGGUCCGUGUAUCGGCAGCAAGAUUCAAUCUGGCGCUGAUAUGUUUCUCUUUCUCACCUAUCUGUUGCAUCCGCAAUUACUGGCCGUACUGUCUUCCUCGUCGUCUCAUUUUCUCGAGGGCAUUCGAGGAAAGGCACAUGAGAACAUCUGGCUGUCUGAUAAAUAAACAAUUCUAAACUUCUGAGACAUUUCGUAUAUCUUGGGUCUAAUGACACCUAGUAGUUGUGCAAUGCCAGUGAGGGAUGGGUGGUGAAGGCAAGAGGCUUCCGAAUGGAUCAGGUUGUGGAAAUCGUGGUUUUGUUCUUGGAGUAGCACAAGUGCAUACGACAAUGAUGCAUAUGGGCUUAAUUUGUAGGCACGCCCCCAGGGCGAGGGUUUUGCUAGAGACGAAGAGGUUCCUCUAUAAUAGGUAGACAGGUACUUGCUCCAGGUCUUGCUUCUUGUUGCUGUUCUUGUAAGUUCUCCUUUGCCAGUGGUAAAGUCAGAGGCAAUGUCUCACCAAUGUUUUGGCUGGCUAUAUUUCUUCCC